CACUGAAGGCAGAAGACCCACCCUGGGUGUGAGUGGCACCAGCCAAGUUGCUGUACCCUGAAUGGAACAAAACAUCAAAGAAGAAGGAAGUCUCAAGUCACUUCUGUUUCUUUGGAGGAGCUCCAGUGUUUUCCACUAUCUUGGACACCCAUCUCCUGGCUUCUACCGCAGACCCUUCAGCUUUCUGGUAUGGAUGCCCUCAGGACUCUGCAGUGAGCUCCGGGCUUUUGACUUUUGACUGAAUCCCUUGGCUCUCCAGGAUGCAGACAGCUCUUCUGUACUUUCCAUACCUGGCUCUGCAGGCCCAGUGAAUCCGUGGCUUCUAUGUUGGAAUAAAUGGAGAAUAAAGCCUGUUAGGAGACUAUUGCAAUAAUCCAGUAUAUUUGUUUGGCACCUAUUGGGACAAGUCCACAAUGGUGAGCAUGAGUAAACAAUCUCUAACCUUAUGGUGCAUAUGAAUAAGCAGACAUCGAUCAUACAAUCACACAAAUACAUGUAAAACUGCCAUUGUGGAUAAAGGGGACAGAGAUGGAAGAGAUUAAUCUCAAGGCAGCAAAUUGCUCUGUGAAAGAACUACAUUUUCCAGGCCAUCUUGCAGCCUGGUGUGGUCAUGUGACUAAGUUUUAGUCAAUGAGAAGCCAGGAAGAAUGUGAGACUCUAAAGUGGAAAAUGGAAGAGAAAAAAGGGCCAGAGAUGUAGCUCAGUGGCACA